AGAACACCGUGCAUGUAAGACUAAUUAUUUACUUGGAUAUACAUUUACACGCAUUAAGAAACUAGUAGCAUGCAAGCAUGACAAAAAAUAUACCACUGAUAACCUAGCAUGUCAAAAAAUGGAGUACCAUUUAUUCACAUUUUUUCCGACAAGUAAUAUUCGUCGUCAUAUAUAACUCGGAACAUAUAUAAGGAAUCCAUCUCGAAGCGAGUGCGACCUAUAUUAAUGAACCAAGAUCGUUCCGUUAGGCUGUCUAUUCGGCCUUCCAGAAUCUGCCACUUACUCUAAUCUAGCAUAUUGCAAAGGAAGAAUGAACUCGCGUUCUCAGGUGGCACCCAUGGCCCUCUUGCCAGUGACAAAAAUAUAUUAUACAUCCAUCAGACCUUACUUUAUACUUGAAAACAUUUAGCUAGCUAGGACCCUAAACUAUAAUCAAUUGUGAAAGACGCAAAACACAAAGCAUGUAAGACUAAUUUUAUUAGAUCACUAAAAAAAAAACUAAUUUACUACCUCCGUUC
rnacentral:lncRNA from 1 species